rnacentral:rRNA from 1 species
UACGUAGGGUGCAAGCGUUACUCGGAAUUACUGGGCGUAAAGCGGGCGCAGGCGGUUCGCUAAGGCCGAUGUGAAAUCCCCGGGCUUAACCUGGGAACUGCAUUGGUGACUGGCGGGCUAGAGUAUGGCAGAGGGGGGUAGAAUUCCACGUGUAGCAGUGAAAUGCGUAGAGAUGUGGAGGAAUACCGAUGGCGAAGGCAGCCCCCUGGGCCAAUACUGACGCUCAUGCACGAAAGCGUGGGGAGCAAACAGG